UAGUGAACCAGUACCGUGAGGGAAAGGCGAAAAGAACCCCGGCGAGGGGAGUGAAAAAGAACCUGAAACCGUGUACGUACAAGCAGUGGGAGCACGCUUAGGCGUGUGACUGCGUACCUUUUGUAUAAUGGGUCAGCGACUUAUAUUCUGUAGCAAGGUUAACCGAAUAGGGGAGCCGAAGGGAAACCGAGUCUUAACUGGGCGUUAAGUUGCAGGGUAUAGACCCGAAACCCGGUGAUCUAGCCAUGGGCAGGUUGAAGGUUGGGUAACACUAACUGGAGGACCGAACCGACUAAUGUUGAAAAAUUAGCGGAUGACUUGUGGCUGGGGGUGAAAGGCCAAUCAAACCGGGAGAUAGCUGGUUCUCCCCGAAAGCUAUUUAGGUAGCGCCUCGUGAAUUCAUCUCCGGGGGUAGAGCACUGUUUCGGCAAGGGGGUCAUCCCGACUUACCAACCCGAUGCAAACUGCGAAUACCGGAGAAUGUUAUCACGGGAGACACACGGCGGGUGCUAACGUCCGUCGUGAAGAGGGAAACAACCCAGACCGCCAGCUAAGGUCCCAAAGUCAUGGUUAAGUGGGAAACGAUGUGGGAAGGCCCAGACAGCCAGGAUGUUGGCUUAGAAGCAGCCAUCAUUUAAAGAAAGCGUAAUAGCUCACUGGUCGAGUCGGCCUGCGCGGAAGAUGUAACGGGGCUAAACCAUG
rnacentral:rRNA from 1 species